CAUUGGCGCGGCCGUUGUGGAGAGAAAACACGGGAAUGCGCGUGCGGUAGCCGCCGCGGUGCGUAAGACCCGGAUUGUGCAGUGCAUAUAUGUAGAACCAUCGAAACAGUUGCAACUCCGAAAAUGAAAAAAAGUGGGGAAACGAAGCAUUGUGCGCACGGCCGAGGAACAAGCCGAGUACGAGGAGAUGCGUCGACAGAAGAAACGCGACUAUAACCAACCACAACGGGCCCGUGAGAGAGCGGAGAAUGCGGCCAGUGGCUUUGCAUCCGAAGAACGUCAUCGAGAGCAGAUGUAUACGUCCGCCACCCGAAUUCACAGAGAUCUGUCCACCAGUGUUUAAUUGGGCCCAGGACUGUGUUGAGCCGAGGAAUAACACGACUUGUGAACAACUGAACUGCUUCAAGGUGGGAUCCAUCUGCUGCCGCAAUGGCUGCAAGGAAAACUACUGCUACCUCGUGCCUGGCACAUUCAAGUGAGGCCCUCGGUCACCGCUAGCCACGCCAAGCUUCUUCUCGACACUUUAUCUGAAUAAACAUCCGUUUGAUAUGCUCA